rnacentral:misc_RNA from 1 species
GAUGAAGAACGCAGCGAAAUGCGAUAAGUAGUGUGAAUUGCAGAAUUCAGUGAAUCAUCGAAUCUUUGAACGCACAUUGCGCCCUUUGGUAUUCCAAAGGGCAUGCCUGUUCGAGCGUCAUUUGUACCCUCAAGCUUUGCUUGGUGUUGGGCGUCUUGUCUCUAGCUUUGCUGGAGACUCGCCUUAAAGUAAUUGGCAGCCGGCCUACUGGUUUCGGAGCGCAGCACAAGUCGCACUCUCUAUCAGCAAAGGUCUAGCAUCCAUUACGCCUUUUUUUCAACUUUUGACCUCGGAUCAGGUAGGGAUACCCGCUGAACUUAAGCAUAUCAAUAAGCGGAGGA